AAUGAACGCUGAAGGCGUGCCUAACACAUGCAAGUCGCACGCGAAAAGGACUUCGGUCCUUAGUAGAGUGGCGCACGGGUGAGUAACGCGUGGAUAAUCUACCCUAGAGUGGGGGACAACAUUUCGAAAGGAAUGCUGAUCCCGCAUACGUCUGCGGUACAUAAGUACUGUAGGGAAAGAUGGCCUCUGAUUUAAGCUAUCGCUCUUGGAUGAGUCCGUGUUAGAUUAGCUAGUUGGUGGGGUAAUGGCCUACCAAGGCAACGAUCUAUAGCUGGUUUGAGAGGAUGAUCAGCCACACUGGGACUGAGACACGGCCCAG
rnacentral:rRNA from 1 species